rnacentral:rRNA from 1 species
GACGAACGCUGGCGGCGUGCUUAACACAUGCAAGUCGAACGGAAAGGCCCUGCUUUUGUGGGGUGCUCGAGUGGCGAACGGGUGAGUAACACGUGAGUAACCUGCCCUUGACUUUGGGAUAACUUCAGGAAACUGGGGCUCAUACCGGAUAGGAGCUCCUGCUGCAUGGUGGGGGUUGGAAAGUUUCGGCGGUUGGGGAUGGACUCGCGGCUUAUCAGCUUGUUGGUGGGGUAGUGGCUUACCAAGGCUUUGACGGGUAGCCGGCCUGAGAGGGUGACCGGCCACAUGGGGACUGAGGUACGGCCCAGAAUCCUACGGGAGGCAACAGUGGGGAAUAUGGCACAAUGGGCGGAAGCCUGAUGCAGCAACGCCGCGUGCGGGAUGACGGCCUUCGGGUUGUAAACCGCUUUCGCCUGUGACGAAGCGUGAGUGACGGUAAUGGGUAAAGAAGCACCGGCUAACUACGUG